UACAGAGACUGCAAGCGUUAUUCGGAUUCACUGGGCGUAAAGGGUGCGCAGGCGGCCGGGUGUGUCAGGUGUGAAAGCCCGAGGCUUAACCUCGGAAUUGCGCCUGAAACUACUCGGCUAGAGGACCGGAGAGGGUAGCGGAAUUCAUGGUGUAGCAGUGAAAUGCGUAGAUAUCAUGAGGAACACCAGAGGCGAAGGCGGCUACCUGGACGGUACCUGACGCUCAGGCACGAAAGCGUGGGGAGCGAAAGGG
rnacentral:misc_RNA from 1 species